rnacentral:rRNA from 1 species
CAUGGUUGUCGUCAGCUCGUGUCGUGAGAUGUUGGUUAAGUCCCGCAACGAGCGCAACCCCUAUUGUUAGUUGCCAUCAUUCAGUUGGGCACUCUAGCGAGACUGCCGGUAAUAAACCGGAGGAAGGUGGGGAUGACGUCAAAUCAUCAUGCCCCUUAUGACCUGGGCUACACACGUGCUACAAUGGUUGGUACAACGAGUUGCGAGUCGGUGACGGCGAGCUAAUCUCUUAAAGCCAAUCUCGGUUCGGAUUGUAGGCUGCAACUCGCCUACAUGAAGUCGGAAUCGCUAGUAAUCGCGGAUCAGCACGCCGCGGUGAAUACGUUCCCGGGCCUU